UAUUAUUGAUGGCAUUAUUUGUGGGAGAACCUUGGAACAUUCGCAUGCUGCCGUUUUAGAUUUCAGGCAUUGCCCAUUUUGCCGUUUUCAGUGCUUCAGCCGUUCAGCGAUUCAACGAUUUUCAUUUCUGAUAAAGCCCUAAUUUGCUGUCUAGAUGACCCACUUGCAAAUUCUCAAUUUUUGAACUGAAAUUAGCAUUAGCAACAAAAAUGACAGACCCGGAUCCCUCCAAAAAGGUCGCCGAUAGGUAUCUGAAGCGUGAAAUCCUUGGUGAAGGUACCUACGGAGUUGUAUACAAAGCCAUUGAUACUCACACCGGACAAACCGUUGCGAUUAAGAAAAUUCGACUUGGCAAGCAGAAAGAAGGGGUCAACUUUACAGCACUCAGAGAAAUUAAACUUCUUAAAGAGCUCAAAGAUCCCAACAUUAUUGAGUUAAUCGAUGCAUUCCCGCAUAAAGGGAAUUUACAUCUUGUAUUCGAAUUCAUGGAGACGGACCUUGAAGCCGUCAUACGAGAUCGAAAUAUUUUUCUUUCUCCAGCUGAUACAAAAUCCUACCUCCAAAUGACGCUAAAGGGUCUUGCUUUUUGCCACAAGAAAUGGGUUUUGCAUAGGGAUAUGAAGCCAAAUAAUUUGUUGAUAGGAUCUCAUGGACAGCUGAAACUUGCAGAUUUUGGUUUGGCACGGAUAUUUGGAAGUCCGGAUAGAAGGUUCACACAUCAGGUGUUUGCUCGGUGGUACAGAGCACCUGAGCUAUUAUUUGGUGCGAAGCAAUAUGGUUCAGGGGUAGAUGUUUGGGCUGCAGCUUGUAUUUUUGCUGAACUUCUUCUCCGCCGACCCUUUUUGCAGGGUUCAAGUGAUAUCGAUCAGUUAGGCAAGAUUUUUGCAGCAUUUGGCACUCCGACACCUGCUCAGUGGCCUGAUAUGGUAUAUCUUCCAGAUUACGUUGAAUAUCAAUGUGUUCCUGCCCCCCCUUUGCGUACUUUGUUUCCAACAGCAAGUGACGAUGCUUUAGAUCUAUUGUCAAAGAUGUUUACAUAUGAUCCAAAAGCUAGAAUUUCAGUGCAGCAGGCACUAGAGCACAGAUACUUUUCUUCUGCACCUCUGCCCACAGAUCCAGAGAAGCUCCCUAGGCCAGCCCCCAAGAAGGAAUCUAGGGCUUCUGAUUUUGAUUUGCAGCAGGGUCCUACUGUGUUAUCACCUCCAAGAAAGUCUAGGAGAGUGAUGCCUGGGCGUGAUGGGUUCGAAGGAAAUUCUUUUCAAGGAGUGAAGGAUGAUGAUGGAAAUUUCGGUGAUUUCAGACAGACAGUUGGUGAUAAUACAGGCAAGAACCAACCAGUUCCAAUGUCAGUAGAUUUUUCUAUCUUUGCAUUAAAAUCUCCAGAUAGACCUACAAUUAACAGGUAAAAACAAUAUUGAUCACCGAAUCAAUCCACAGUGGAGACAAACAUUACACAAUAUUCAUGGAUGAUAUUCAUGCUUGAUGUUUCGGCUUGCUCAUGUACCCCAAACCUUUCGCUAAAUACAAUAUCGGUGGAAGAGAAUAUCCAGGUUACAAAAGCAUAUUAUGACAUACCACGAUGAAAUAUUGUUCUAGUGAAUUGCUAUCUGCAAUAAUGAGACCAAUGUGUUGAUAUGAUAAAUGUGCUGACAGAUUACAUUUAAAAAGAAAAUUAGAUCUAGAAUUUCAACAACCAGAAUGAAUGAAUAUUCAGUAUUCAAUAGGCGUGCCAUUAGCCCAAGUAUAAUAAGACAAGAGGGGCAGAAUAGAAUGCUUUUGAUGAAAUGCAGCGGAGUAGACUUCAUGGCUUAUUUGUAGAACUUUAAAGGAAGA